GUGGCUGUAGCUCAGUUGGUUAGAGCGGAUGACUGUGGCUCAUCAGGUCGCGGGUUCGAGCCCCGUCAGCCACC
rnacentral:tRNA from 1 species